rnacentral:rRNA from 1 species
CAUAGCGACUAUCGUGGCAUAUCAAUAAGCGGAGGAAAAGAAACUAACAAGGAUUCCCUUAGUAACGGCGAGUGGAAGCGGGAAGAGCUCAAAUUUGAAAUCUUCAAGGUUCUACCUUGACGAAUUGUAGUUUAUAAGAAGUGUUUUCUGUUAGUGGAGUGGCUAAAAGUUCUUUGGAAUAGGACAUCAUAGAGGGUGAGAAUCCCGUAUUUGUACCAUUCUUCCUAGCUGUUGUGAUACACUUUCAACGAGUCGGAUUGUUUGGGAAUGCAGUCCAAAAUGGGUGGUAAAUUUCAUCUAAAGCUAAAUAUUGGCGAGAGACCGAUAGCGAACAAGUACCGUGAGGGAAAGAUGAAAAGAACUUUGAAAAGAGAGUUAAACAGUACGUGAAAUUGUCAAAAGGGAAGCGUUUGACACCAGUGUUGUUUUUCUCGAAAAUCAAUUAAACUGAUGGAUUUUGUUUUGAGUAGUUAUGACUUCAUCAGCUUUCUGCACUUUUUCUUACUACUUUCUUAAUGCACUUUUCGUUUAACAAGUCAACAUCAAUUUCUCUUGUUGUAAAAGAGUCAUGAGGAAGGUGGCUUUUCUUUCGGAGAAAGUGUUUAUAGCCUUGUGCCUCUGCAAUCGGAGAGAUUGAGGUCUGCAGCGUAGAUCCUUCGGGGUUAGAUACGUUUGUGCUAAGUUAUAGCUUUUCAUAGACAACUUGUUGACUAUGUUUAGUCUUGUAGCUUACUCGCUGAUGCUAUUUUACCUACGCUUAGGAUGUUGACGAGACUGUCGAUCUC